GACGAGAGAGGGGGGUGGAAUUCCGGGUGUAGUGUGAAAUGCGUAGAGAUCCGGAGGAACCCCAGAGGCGAAGGCGGCCCCCUGGCUCGUACCUGACGCUCAGCCACGAAAGCAUGGGGAGCGAACGGGAUUAGAAACCCCGGUAGUCCAUGCCGUAAACGAUGCAAACUAGGCGCUGACGGUCUCAACCCCGCCGGUGCCGGAGCUAACGCGAUAAGUUUGCCGCCUGGGGAGUACGGUCGCAAGGCUAAAACUCAAAGGAAUUGACGGGGGCCCGCACAAGCAGCGGAGCGUGUGGUUUAAUUCGAGGCUACACGAAGAACCUUACCUGGACUUGACAUGACACUAGUAGGGAAGUGAAAGCGGACCGACCCGCAAGGGAGGUGUCACAGGUGCUGCAUGGCUGUCGUCAGCUCGUGCCGUGAGAUGUUGGGUUAAGUCCUGUAACGAGCGCAACCCUCGGAGCCAGUUACACGAUGUCUGGCUCGACUGCCCGUGACAGCGGGAGGAAGGUGGGGAUGACGUCAAGUCAGCAUGGCCUUUAUGUCCAGGGCUACACACACGCUACAAUGGCCGGUACAAUGGGCAGCCAAGCCGCAAGGCGGAGCUAAUCCUAUCAAAGCCGGUCACAGUUCGGAUUGUGGGCUGCAACCCGCCCACAUGAAGUUGGAGUUGCUAGUAACCGCGCGUCAGCCAUAGUGCGGUGAAUACGUUCCCGGGCCUUGUACACACCGCCCGUCACGUCAUGGGAGCUGGUCACGCCUGAAGCGAGUGCGCUAACCGCAAGGAGGCAACUCUCCAAGGCAGGGCCGGUGACUGGGACGAAGUCGUAACAAGGUAGCUGUAGCGGAAGCUGCGGCUGGAUCACCUCCUU
rnacentral:rRNA from 1 species